rnacentral:lncRNA from 1 species
AACAAUAACAGGUAGUUAAAUGAUGUGGUAACCUUUAUAGUAGCUCCCAUUACAAUGAUUUGAGAGGGCAUAUAUGUGGAGAUUAUUCGUUCCCAGCCGGCCGGUCCAGCCGAUCCUUAAUUUUCUUUCCAACAUGUAUACGUUUCUUCCGUCGUUGUUCUUUUGAGAGGGGUUAACUAGCCCCCAUAUGCAUGCUUAGUUAUAUUCCACCAGAGCAAAAAAGAAAAUCGAUCGCCAAGAAUUACAACAACAGUAACACAAUUACACAACACACAAGAAUGGAGUACGUACAUAUACAUACAAUAAUGGAAACAAACUCAUGGCCUAGACCUCCUCGUGUACAUCACUCAUUUCAUAUCUGUCAAUGGAUUAAUUAGUUGGAUCAGGACUUCAGGCGGGGAGGUAGGACGGCGGCAUCGGCAGGCCGACGACCUUGCCGCAGCGGAGGGCGUUCUCUGGCAUGUUGUACUCGUCGCGCAGCGACCUCGCCGGCGAGACGACGCUCAUGUAGAGCUGCUCCCCGAGGUAGUGCCUCUCCCACAGGUUGGUCCUCACGUUCCACAUCCCCGCGUUGUCGAACGUCAGCAUCACCGCCGACCACGACCGCGGGUACACCUGGAUCGUGUGCCUGCUCACCGCGUCCAGCAGGUUGUACGUCUUCCUCUCCGCCGGCGUCCACUUCCCCGGCCCCAUCCUGCAAUAAUCACAUGCAUCAACUCCAUUUCCAUUCCAUCGGCGCCGCCGCCCGUACAUGCAAUGCAUGCAUGAGUACAAGAAGGGUUACCCGACGGCGAAGAAGGCGUAGCCGUCGAUGUGGACGGACUCCAUGCUCUUCUCGGGGUUCUCGAAGACGACCUCGAUGAAGGUGCGGAACUCGGCGCUGAUGACGUUGGGCACGACGUGCAUGGGGCCGUUCACGGCAGGGGGUUCGUCGCCCAUCUGGUUGUACUUGAACACCUGGUCGCUGACGUUGAAGUACUCGGCGAGCUUCAGGGGUGUGUCGGCGUCCACGUGGGACACGCCGUUGAAGCCGUACCUGAGCUUGCCGUCGAUGUGGCCGCGGGUGACCAUGAGCUUGAUGGUGCGGGUGAUGUUGAUCUGGCCGUAGUGGUAGGACCCCUGCGGGUUGGGACGCGCCGCGCUGGCCGUCAGGUUCCACCGGAAGGACCUCCACUGGUUGAUCGACCAGGCCCAGCCGGCCGGCGGCUCCGGGACGUUAGCCGCCGGCGGGGUGUUGGAGCCGGCGUAGCGGAUGACGGCGGAGACGGAGCUGGGGCCAGCCAUGAACCUGGUGGAGGCCACCAUGAGGUAGUCCGCGGGCUUCUGGUCGGCGUCGACGAGGACGGCCAUGCACUGGCCCACGUGCACGUCGAGCGACUCGUACAUGCCCUGUAUCGUGUGGGAGCCGUCCAUCUCCACGAGCUUCAUGUCGUGGCCCUGGAUGCGGAAGUUGAGCGACGACUUGAUGCCGACGUUGCAGAUGCGGAGUUGGUACGUCUUGGCGGCCUCCCAGGUGAACAUGGGCGGGUCGGCCGCCUCCUUGCCGCCCCUGCCGUUGAUGAGCACGCCCGCGGGGCGGCCGAAGUUGCGGCCGGCGUCGAGGAGGCUGGCCAUGACGGCGUGGUCCUUGGUGAACCAGUCGCCGAUGAGGACCUGCAGGUCGUCGGCGGGCGGGUCGUAGGGGACCGGGAUGAGGAGGCGGCUGACGACGCUGAUGAGGCCGAAGCCGCCGACGACGCGCUGCAUGCCGAUGGAGGGGAAGUAGAAGAAGGUGCCGAUCUGGUCCUUGGGCUGCCAGUGGUAGGUGUAAUUGGUGCCGGGGGCGACGGGGCAGUUGGUGCCCGGGAGGCCGUCCUGCCACGAGUUCUUGCGGUGCUGGAUGCCGUUCCAGGUGAAGAGGAGCGGCUGGUCCAGCUCGUUGAAGACGUUGACGACGAUGUUGUUGUUGGAGGAGCAGUUGAUCCGGGGGCCCGGGAACUCGCCGUUGAUGAGGAUCACCUUCUGCGGCGUGCCCACGAUGUUCUUGGUCCCGUACGUCACGUGCCACUCCAUGAACACGUACGGGUCCUCGGCCCGGGCCACCGUCGUGGACAGCAGCAGCAGCGCCAGCAGGAGGACGGCCCCCGCCGCCGUCCCGCGCAUUGUCAUCGUCGUCGCCAUCAAGAUCAGGAUCGGUGGCAGCAGGCGGGCGGGCUAGCUGGACGGCCUGGCGAGCGCUAUAUAUCAAGUUCUGCUCUCUACAUCACAAAAUACGAACACAUUCGAAUGAAUUGAUCGGAAACCGCAUGCAUCCGACGACGAUUUGUAGGCAUGCCUUUGAUGAAUGAUGCAUGUAUGCUGGGUGCGUGCGUACCUUGAAGGAUUGUAAUGUAGGAGUUGCGGGCGGCGGGAUAGGUGGGACUAUGAGGAGGCCAUGGAAGACGUCCCCUGGUUGUCGUAGGGGUAGGACGGUGAAGGA